GUCUCUUGUUUGCUAACAUAUUAAACAGCGCUGUACCUAACAUAGCUCUUUGAGUCACCUCAUUGUCAAAGCAAUUGAAAGCCUUUUCUUCUUCCUCUUCUUUGGUGAUUUUUACUUCCCCAGUUGAUUUUGUUCCCUUUGUUGCUUUUUGUGGUGAGGCCUAUAGGCUGUUUUAGAAAGAGCAUUAGAUUAAUCAGAUGUGCUUGUACUUGAGGUGGUUCUUUAGACUCUGAGCCUUAUUUUCUUUUAAGAAACUCCACACUAUUUUCUCCCUUUUCUGCAAGGAUGAUUCGGUUGGGUUUGUGUUUUCUUUUUGUUUUAAGAGUUUUGUUUACCUGGUGUUGAAAUAAGGUUCAGUAGGUUGCGAUUUUCAAGGCUAGUUCAGUGUGUUUUCCAAAGCUAGCACUUAGGCAGCAGCUUCCAGCGUUCCAAUAGCAAAUGGUAAAUGAGCAAGAAUACAGGGUUGGUUUUUUGUUUGCUUGUUAAUUACUUCCUCUGCCACUGCCUUAGAAAAUAGAUGUGGGCACACAAGCUGGUUCUGGGGGUCUGCCUCUCCCAAACACAAAUGUUGCUGUAAUUUCUACCUUGAAAACAGUAUUUGCUAUUGAUUUCUUUUUUCUUACACAGGAAAACAAAUGCGCUGAACUGAAACUGAAAAUCCUCUUUAGAAUAAAAUAUUUGGAGUCUUUGACGGCAUUACCCUUAAAUGCUCAUUUAUUCCUCCUUCCUGCCUCUUGGGUUCCAUAGAAGUCCUUUUAAAAUUCCCACCAUAGAGGAGCCUUCAUCCUCCAUCACUUGGCAAUAUGGCUGGUUAUGUCUGGACAGCGCAAAUGUCACCAUUGGUACGUAAGUAUCUCGGGUAGCUUAAGCUAGUCUUUGUUGCAGCAAGAAACUGGUUUGCCAACCUUGGUUUGCUAAUCUGAUUUGCUAGGCUUGCACCACUGAUAUAUAUUAGUGUCCUCCCAUCAGCCUUUGGAAUUUGCAUCACUUCUAUUAUAAGAACAGCCCUGCUCAGUGUUAGUGGUGAGAGCAAGAGAGAAGGAAACAGCUCAAAAGGCUGGAUAUUUUCUAUGGAUUAAGAGACAGUUGUCAUUUGGCUCUCGUAGGUGAACUUGAAGUAGCUCUGACAGCAGGAGGGUCCUGCAGUCCCACAAGAGGUUCUGCAGCUGUGGCGGAAGGGUCACCCUUAGGAAAUGACACCACUUGUGAUUUGUCUCUGCACUGGGCAUUCACUGGGACCGGGUGUGUGUUCCUUAUUGCUUGAGAAGAAGCUUGAAACCUUUAUGCGGUAAGAAAUAAGCAACAGUAGACUCCAUUUUUCCAUCUCUAUUCCAAUGUCUGGGUAA
rnacentral:lncRNA from 1 species